rnacentral:tRNA from 9 species
CUCCUGAUGGUCUAGUUGGUUUAUGACAUUCGGCUGUAAACCGAAGGGUCCCUAGUUCGAUUCUGGGUCAGGAGA